GACGGAGUGUCCCAAAAAAAUAUUUUUGGCAUCAAAACCGUGAGGUUCUUAUUCUUAUCGCCAGUCGCGGUGACCGGAUCUAGCAACAUAUAACUUGGGCCUGCAUGGGCGGCGCCGGCGGCGCCAGCGUCGCUGAUUCCCACCGCGGUCCCCAACGCUGGUCGGACUCACCGUCGACAAGGAAAACUGACUAGACGAGAAAGAGGCAGCGGAGG
rnacentral:lncRNA from 1 species